rnacentral:rRNA from 1 species
AUUGAACGCUGGCGGCAGGCCUAACACAUGCAAGUCGAGCGGAGCGGAGGACGGGUGAGUAAUGCAUAGGAAUCUAACUUAUCGAGGGGGAUAAAGUCAGGACGGGGAAGAUAAUACAGCAUCCUAUCAGCUGAGCCUUGGGUGGAUUUGCUAGCUGGUGGGGUAAGGGCCUACCAAGGCGACGAGCCGUAGCUGGUCUGAGAGGAUGAUCAGUCACACUGGAACUGAGACACGGUCCAGACUCCUACGGGAGGCAGCAGUGGGGAAUCUUGGGCAAUGGGCGAAAGCCUGAUCCAGCCACGCCGCGUGUGUGAAGAAGGUCUUCGGAUUGUAAAGCACUUUAAGUAGGGAGGCGUUACCAACAGAAUAAGCACCGGCUAACUUCGUGCCAGCAGCCGCGGUAAUAC